rnacentral:snRNA from 1 species
AUCACUUCUCUGUCUUUUGGCUAGGAUUCAGUCAGUGUCUGUUCUUAUCAGUUUAAUAUUGAUUUGAGGACAAUAUAUUAAAUGUUUUUUUGGGUCAAGGAGAUGGAACAGGAACUUGCUUCUCCAAUCCACACAUUGACCUGUUAUUAUAGAACCUCCAGGAACAAUGGGAAGAAA